rnacentral:lncRNA from 1 species
CAAAAUAGAGGUCAAGUUCAAUAAUGACGAUUUUGACUUUUACCGUUCAGGAGUUAUGGUUCUUGAAAGAUCGUAAAAUGGUGUUUCCAUUCAGGUUGUUGCAUUUACUCAUGAACCAUUCAAUCUAAGCUUUUCAAAUUUUAAUAUGUUGAUACUGAUGACAAAAUGGAGGUCAAAUUUGAUAUUGACGAUUUUCACUUUCACCAUUCAUCAGUAAUGGUUCUUGUGAUAUUGCCAGGACACAAAUUAAUGUUAAUAAAUCCGGUUUGCUGUCGUUGUGACAGCCUCUUGUAUAGAUCGUACAUCGAAGCUAGAAAAAUAAUAAUUACACCACUGAAUUCAGUACAUUGAAUUGUUUUGUUAGACAUGAAUACUUUUUAUAAUGAAAAUAUAUUUAGAAAGUUAUACAAUGAAACAUGCUGAACUUUCAAUGAUUUUCUCGAUAACACCUGAUUAACAGACUUUAGCCAACCCGAUUAACAGACCAACCGCCGAUAUAGCCGC